ACAGUCAACCGCUGGAGAGGAGUCGGUGUGCCUUGCUGUUCCAAUAACAAAGAAUCAUGAGGAUCUUAGCCCUUGGUCUCGCGCUCGUCAUCGUGACUGUUCUUGCAAGACUUCCUGCUUCGUACGGUGAGCCAUUUGGAGACGACCAUUCCGGAUAUUAUGCCAGAAGCGGUCCUCUAGGUUACGGCCGUUCGGUAUCGGCACAGGAUCUCCAGUCACGAGGCAUCCUCGACGUUGCUAAAACAAUAUGCGGACUCGUCGUUAAACUCGGUGGAUAAAUCUACGAAAGCCAAAGGCACUGGACGUACGAAGAUGAAGAAAACACAACAAGGGGUGGUGGAAUUGACAAGAAAAACUGAGACAAUAAAUAUCAACUGGACGGA